rnacentral:rRNA from 1 species
AAAUUGAAGAGUUUGAUCAUGGCUCAGAUUGAACGCUGGCGGCAGGCCUAACACAUGCAAGUCGAGCGGAAACGAGUUAUCUGAACCUUCGGGGAACGUUAACGGCGUCGAGCGGCGGACGGGUGAGUAAUGCCUAGGAAAUUGCCCUGAUGUGGGGGAUAACCAUUGGAAACGAUGGCUAAUACCGCAUGAUGCCUACGGGCCAAAGAGGGGGACCUUCGGGCCUCUCGCGUCAGGAUAUGCCUAGGUGGGAUUAGCUAGUUGGUGAGGUAAGGGCUCACCAAGGCGACGAUCCCUAGCUGGUCUGAGAGGAUGAUCAGCCACACUGGAACUGAGACACGGUCCAGACUCCUACGGGAGGCAGCAGUGGGGAAUAUUGCACAAUGGGCGCAAGCCUGAUGCAGCCAUGCCGCGUGUGUGAAGAAGGCCUUCGGGUUGUAAAGCACUUUCAGUCGUGAGGAAGGUAGUGUAGUUAAUAGCUGCAUUAUUUGACGUUAGCGACAGAAGAAGCACCGGCUAACUCCGUGCCAGCAGCCGCGGUAAUACGGAGGGUGCGAGCGUUAAUCGGAAUUACUGGGCGUAAAGCGCAUGCAGGUGGUUUGUUAAGUCAGAUGUGAAAGCCCGGGGCUCAACCUCGGAAUAGCAUUUGAAACUGGCAGACUAGAGUACUGUAGAGGGGGUAGAAUUUCAGGUGUAGCGGUGAAAUGCGUAGAGAUCUGAAGGAAUACCGGUGGCGAAGGCGGCCCCCUGGACAGAUACUGACACUCAGAUGCGAAAGCGUGGGGAGCAAACAGGAUUAGAUACCCUGGUAGUCCACGCCGUAAACGAUGUCUACUUGGAGGUUGUGGCCUUGAGCCGUGGCUUUCGGAGCUAACGCGUUAAGUAGACCGCCUGGGGAGUACGGUCGCAAGAUUAAAACUCAAAUGAAUUGACGGGGGCCCGCACAAGCGGUGGAGCAUGUGGUUUAAUUCGAUGCAACGCGAAGAACCUUACCUACUCUUGACAUCCAGAGAAUUUUCCAGAGAUGGAUUAGUGCCUUCGGGAACUCUGAGACAGGUGCUGCAUGGCUGUCGUCAGCUCGUGUUGUGAAAUGUUGGGUUAAGUCCCGCAACGAGCGCAACCCUUAUCCUUGUUUGCCAGCGAGUAAUGUCGGGAACUCCAGGGAGACUGCCGGUGAUAAACCGGAGGAAGGUGGGGACGACGUCAAGUCAUCAUGGCCCUUACGAGUAGGGCUACACACGUGCUACAAUGGCGCAUACAGAGGGCGGCCAACUUGCGAAAGUGAGCGAAUCCCAAAAAGUGCGUCGUAGUCCGGAUUGGAGUCUGCAACUCGACUCCAUGAAGUCGGAAUCGCUAGUAAUCGUGGAUCAGAAUGCCACGGUGAAUACGUUCCCGGGCCUUGUACACACCGCCCGUCACACCAUGGGAGUGGGCUGCAAAAGAAGUAGGUAGUUUAACCUUCGGGGGGACGCUUACCACUUUGUGGUUCAUGACUGGGGUGAAGUCGUAACAAGGUAGCGCUAGGGGAACCUGGCGCUGGAUCACCUCCUUA